rnacentral:lncRNA from 1 species
AUGGCGAUUCGGUUAUCACAAAUUCUACGACAAUCGAGCUUAUUUUUUGCAAACAAAGCAACAUCAUCAUCUUCUGUUGGUGUUCCAAAAGGCUACAUUGUAGUGUAUGUUGGAGAGUUUGAAAAGAAGCGAUUUGUCGUUCCGAUAUCAUUUUUGAGUCAGCCUUCAUUUCAAGAGUUGCUAAGGAAGGCAGAGGAAGAAUUCGGAUACAAUUAUCCGAUGGGUGGACUGACAAUUCCUUGUAGAGAAGACAUCUUCAUUGACCUCACUUCCCGCUUGAAUUAA